rnacentral:rRNA from 1 species
AGAGUUUGAUCCUGGCUCAGAUUGAACGCUGGCGGCAUGCCUUACACAUGCAAGUCGAACGGUAACAGGCCGCAAGGUGCUGACGAGUGGCGAACGGGUGAGUAACACAUCGGAACGUGCCUGAUAGUGGGGGAUAACUACUCGAAAGAGUGGCUAAUACCGCAUAAGAUCUCAGGAUGAAAGCAGGGGACCGCAAGGCCUUGCGCUAACAGAGCGGCCGAUGGCAGAUUAGGUAGUUGGUGGGAUAAAAGCUUACCAAGCCGACGAUCUGUAGCUGGUCUGAGAGGACGACCAGCCACACUGGGACUGAGACACGGCCCAGACUCCUACGGGAGGCAGCAGUGGGGAAUUUUGGACAAUGGGCGCAAGCCUGAUCCAGCAAUGCCGCGUGCAGGAUGAAGGCCUUCGGGUUGUAAACUGCUUUUGUACGGAACGAAAAGCUUCUCUCUAAUACAGGGGGGCCAUGACGGUACCGUAAGAAUAAGCACCGGCUAACUACGUGCCAGCAGCCGCGGUAAUACGUAGGGUGCAAGCGUUAAUCGGAAUUACUGGGCGUAAAGCGUGCGCAGGCGGUGAUGUAAGACAGAGGUGAAAUCCCCGGGCUCAACCUGGGAACUGCCUUUGUGACUGCAUCGCUGGAGUGCGGCAGAGGGGGAUGGAAUUCCGCGUGUAGCAGUGAAAUGCGUAGAUAUGCGGAGGAACACCGAUGGC